UACGUAGGGGGGCUAGCGUUGUCCGGAAUCAUUGGGCGUAAAGCGCGUGUAGGCGGUCCGGUAAGUCCGCUGUGAAAGUCGGGGGGCUCAACCCUCGAAUGCCGGUGGAUACUGUCGGGCUAGAGUGCGGAAGAGGCGAGUGGAAUUCCUGGUGUAGCGGUGAAAUGCGCAGAUAUCAGGAGGAACACCGGUGGCGAAGGCGGGUCUCUGGGCCGAUACUGACGCUGAGGAGCGAAAGCGUGGGGAGCGAACAGG
rnacentral:rRNA from 1 species